AAGCUCGUAGUUGAAUUUCGGGAUUGGCGUGUCGGUCGUGCCUUAAGGGGUAUGAACUGGCGUCGUCGAUUUCUCACCUUCUGGAGAAUCACGAUGCCCUUAAUUGGGUGCCGUGUGGAACCAGGACCUUUACCUUGAAAAAAUUAGAGUGUUUAAAGCAGGCAUUUUUGCUCGAAUACAUUAGCAUGGAAUAAUAAAAUAGGACGGUUGGUUCUAUUUUGUUGGUUUCUAGGAUCACCGUAAUGAUUAAUAGGGAUAGUUGGG
rnacentral:rRNA from 1 species